rnacentral:rRNA from 1 species
GGCUCAGGAUGAACGCUAGCGGCAGGCUUAACACAUGCAAGUCGAGGGGCAGCGCGGUUGUAGCAAUACGACUGGCGGCGACCGGCGAAAGGGUGCGUAACGCGUGAGCGACAUGCCCGUCACCGGGGUAUAACCGAUGGAAACGUCGACUAAUCCCCCAUAACAUCAGAGGAGGCAUCUUCUUUGGUUGAAAUUCACGGAGGUGACGGAUUGGCUCGCGUCUGAUUAGCUAGUCGGCGGGGUAACGGCCCACCGAGGCUACGAUCAGUAGGGGUUCUGAGAGGAAGGUCCCCCACAAUGGAACUGAGACACGGUCCAUACUCCUACGGGAGGCAGCAGUGAGGAAUAUUGGUCAAUGGGCGGAAGCCUGAACCAGCCAUGCCGCGUGCAGGACGACGGCCCUUAAUGGGUUGUAAACUGCUUUUGCUGCGGAGCAAUAAGGGCCUCGAGCAGGUCCGAUGAGAGUACGCAGCGAAUAAGCAUCGGCUAACUCCGUGCCAGCCGCCGC